UGGGGAAUCUUGCACAAUGGGGGAAACCCUGAUGCAGCGACGCCGCGUGAGCGAUGAAGCCCUUCGGGGUGUAAAGCUCUUUCGGCAGGGACGAUUAUGACGGUACCUGCAGAAGCAGCUGCGGCUAACUACGUGCCAGCAGCCGCGGUAAUACGUAGGCAGCAAGCGUUGUUCGGAGUUACUGGGCGUAAAGGGUGUGUAGGCGGUCCUCUAAGUUUGGUGUGAAAUCUCCCGGCUCAACUGGGAGGGUGCGCCGAAAACUGGGGGGCUUCGAGUGCGGGAUGGGAGAGUGGAAUUCCUGGUGUAGCGGUGAAAUGCGUAGAUAUCAGGAGGAACACCUGCGGUGUAGACGGCUCUCUGGACCGUAACUGACGCUGAGACACGAAAGCGUGGGUAGCAAACA
rnacentral:rRNA from 1 species